GAUGAACGCUAGCGGGAGGCUUAACACAUGCAAGUCGAGGGGCAGCAUAGGGUAGCAAUACUCUGAUGGCGACCGGCAAACGGGUGAGUAACGCGUAUGCAACCUACCCUGUACAGGGGGAUAACCCGGAGAAAUUCGGACUAAUAUCCCGUAAUAAUAUCCGGAGGCAUCUUUGGAUAUUUAAAGUUCCGACGGUACGGGAUGGGCAUGCGUAACAUUAGCUGGUUGGUAAGGUAACGGCUUACCAAGGCUAUGAUGUUUAGGGGUCCUGAGAGGGUGGUCCCCCACACUGGUACUGAGACACGGACCAGACUCCUACGGGAGGCAGCAGUGAGGAAUAUUGGUCAAUGGGCGCAAGCCUGAACCAGCCAUCCCGCGUGCAGGAAGACGGCCCUAUGGGUUGUAAACUGUCUUUUCCAGGGAGAGAAACUUACGCACGUGUUGCGUGACUGACGGUACCCUGGGAAUAAGCAUCGGCUAACUCCGUGCCAGCAGCCGCGGUAAGAUC
rnacentral:rRNA from 1 species